GAACAGGUGAACAAAAGAAAAGGUUUAAGGAUAUACUCAAAGCCUUCUUGAAGAAAUGCAAUAUUCAAAGGGAUUCCAGUGAAUUUCUCCCCAUGGCUGCUCAAAAGUCCUCCUGAACAUGUAAGAUAAUGUGGAACAAAAGGCCAAUGCUGCUGGCAGAAAGCUAUCAUAGGAAAGAGGCAUGACUGGGGUACUGAUUUGCAACAGGGGACACAUCGCGCAGCAUCCACCCAAAUGAGAUUUCCAGCAUUAUCAGACUCUCUUGUGUUUAUGCUCAGCUCUGUUCUCCAUAAGCAUGAAAGCUCUCUCACUCAAAAUUCUGUUGGUCUUGAAUAUUAUUGAUGAAUCAGCCGCCUCAUUUCUCUGUGCUAGAGGAUCCAGAGAUUCAUGUCCCACUGC